rnacentral:rRNA from 1 species
GAUGAACGCUGGCGGCGUGCCUAAUACAUGCAAGUCGAGCGAACGGACGAGAGGCUUGCUCCUCUGAUGUUAGCGGCGGACGGGUGAGUAACACGUGGAUAACCUACCUAUAGGACUGGGAUAACUUCGGGAAACCGGAGCUAAUACAGGAUAAUAUUUUGAACCGCAUGGUUCAACAGUGAAUGACGGUCUUGCUGUCACUUAUAGAUAGAACCGCGCUGCAUUAUCUAGUUGGUAAGGUAACGGCUAACCAAGGCAACGAUGCAUCGCCGACCUGAGAGGGUGAUCGGCCACACUGGAACUGAGACACGGUCCAGACUCCUACGGGAGGCAGCAGUAGGGAAUCUUCCGCGAUGGGCGAAAGCCUGACGGAGCAACGCCGCGUGAGUGAUGAAGGUCUUCGGAUCGUAAAACUCUGUUAUUAGGGAAGAACAUAUGUGUAAGUAACUGUGCACAUCUUGACGGUACCUAAUCAGAAAGCCACGGCUAACUACGUG